rnacentral:lncRNA from 1 species
UAUGCAACUGUGUCUGCACUGCAGUCUUGCUUUAAUUAAAAUGUGCCUGAUAUCAUCUACUCAGUUCCAUUAAAAGCCGGUGAUAUCUGAGCAGCUCACUAAGUGAACCACAUGUUUAUUUCAUCUAGGACUGUUAACAGCCCAGACAACAAUUGUCCCACUUGACAAAGAAACUUUCAACGCAGCUGUUUGGAUGCUGAUAAUCACAAGCCAGCCUUUGUUACCUAAGAAGAGGGUGGAUGGAUGAUGUGGAAAUGAUUUCUGCACAGAAUCAGAGGGCUGCCUCCAGAAAGCUACCGCUUAUACCCUCUCAAGCUACAAGAUACUUUAAGUGUACAAAUUGAGAGCUUCUUCCUGUCUGCGGUUCCUCUGUAAGAUGUCCACGAGCACCAGACUCUCGCGCUCAGAGCCAGUAGCCCACGCUCUGCACUAGUCUUGCCUGUCCUGAUCUUCCUGGGGUGCGCGCACUCCUUCAGCGUGUCCUGGUUUUAAAAGACUAACCCAUCCGGAUGGGCCUGAACUCAAGAAGCAACUAUUCUAAGCUAGACUGAGCCUUGGCGUCUCCGCAGCCUGGGAAGCUCGGAUAGAGCUCUUUGAAGAAGGCGGCUGCAAGCCAGUCUCCGAACCCCAGGGGACUUUUGGGCAAGGGAGCCGGUGGAAGCAGAAGGAAGAAGAUGCGCUGAGAGUCCUCACAACUGCGUCUCCGGAGGCAGAACGAAGUGGGGACUUCAGACAAUCAAGCGUCAUCCUUGCUCCCCCCUCCCCACACGGAACCCUGCGAUUAUGGCAAGAGAAAACUGGUUUGAGCUUGAGAAAAUUUCCCCAGAUUGUCUCCACUGCUCUAUUUCCCUCAGAUAAUUGUUCGCCCAGCCCUUGGGAGCAAAGACAGGCGGAGGAGAAUACUCCUGGAGUUCUCCUGGGUA